rnacentral:rRNA from 1 species
AACGUAGGAGGCAAGCGUUAUCCGGAGUUACUGGGCGUAAAGCGUGCGUAGGCGGGUUUGGUAAGUGGGUUGGUGAAAGCGCUCGGCUAAACCGGGCGAGUGCCAUCCAGACUGCCAGUCUAGAGGCGGAUAGAGGGGUUGCGGAAUUCGGGUGUAGCGGUGAAAUGGCGCAGAUAUCAGGAGGAACACCGGUGGCGAAGGCGGCCCCCUGGACCGGUACUGACGCUGAGGCGCGAAAAGCCGGGGAGCAA